CGCAACACUUUGUUGUCUUUGUCUGUGUACUUGCAAUGCUUCAUGACCAGUUCUCUCUCCUGCGGGUUUUCCUCCGCCUGUUCUGUGCCGCCACAUCCUUCACCUGCACUGCGCAGGUCUAUCAAAAGGUGAGGGGACCAUAAACAUAUGGGCAGAACCUGGUCGUUGUGAAAGGGUAGUGUUUAUUGGCAACCAGAGGUAAACAGGCAGGUAACAACAAACAAAAGGAGGGUGGAUGAGGGUGCUGUGAAAAGACAAACCAAGUUAAAUAAAAGAGAUCCCCAAAAGGAGGACUAUGCCUGAAUAUACAUUUAGACAAACAGUAGGCGCUUACCAAAAAAACACAAAGAGCACAGCACCCUUUAGCUAACAGGCACAAAAACUACGUGUGGUGAAUCAGUAUUGACUCUUGCCCUAACUCACCCCUUUUGCCAGCCCCGUGCUGGUAAAAACACACAAGAACCAAAAGACAGUACUUGACUCAGUUGCACACAAAUACACACACAGAAGGCACACAAGUCACAGAGCUCCACCGAAACCAGGAAGUAGGCGGGGGCUUCAGUCCACAGGGCCGCACAGCCUACUUGGUACAGGCAAAGACAAGACAGAAAUACAGACCACCGGUGACAGCCGUGACACUUAGUAACGAGGGGAACGGUGGCCGAGACGGUUUAACGCCGUCUCUCACGAUGCGGCGUGUGAACUAUAGUUGAAAUGCGUGUGUCUCACGGUCAUCAAUGCGUGAGGCUUCAGAACCUGCAAUGAGUUUAUUACGUUAGACGUGUUUGGAGAAACCUGUAACGGAGCGUCUCAUCCACUGAGGAAACGCUGCCUGCCGUCGCCAGAGAACAGAGCAGAAAGCAAUGGGAGGAGGUGAGUCUUGACAUGUCAUCAUUUCAGCUCCUAAAUGUUUAAUCCUUUGCAAAACUGAUUCAAAAUUGUAAUUAUUCCAACAUUAAAAAAAAGAAAAGGCGCAUUAACAUAUGUAACUUUCUCUUUAGCAUUUUCUAGUGAGCCAUGGAGGGAAGUGACAAA
ensembl:lncRNA